rnacentral:misc_RNA from 1 species
GGGUUGGAGAAGCUGGUUUCUGAGAUUGAUCUUGUCAAGUCUUUUUCAUGGGGACAAGAUUUGGAAAGCCCAGAGAUGCUUGCACAAGGCUUUACUCAUGCCAUUUCAAUGACUUUUGACAAAAAGCAAGAUUACACUGCAUUUCAAACCCAUCCUAAUCAUGUUGAAUUUUCUGCUACAUUUUCUGCUGCUAUUGAGAAAAUUGUGGUGCUUUGUUUCUCAUCUGUUCAGGUU